GGCCCCUUAGCUCAGUGGUGAGAGUUGUCGGCUUAUAAUCGAUAGGUAGCCAGUUAGAACCCAGCAGGGGCCACCG
rnacentral:tRNA from 1 species